rnacentral:rRNA from 1 species
ACCUGGCUCACACCGGUUUAAACUCAGAUCAUGUAAAAUUUUAAAGGUCGAACAGACCUAAUUAACUAGCUUCUACACCAAUAAUUUAUUUUAAUCCAACAUCGAGGUCGCAAUCUUUUUUUUCGAUAAGAACUCUAAAAAAAAUUACGCUGUUAUCCCUAAGGUAAUUUUAUCUUACAAUCUUAAUUUUAGGAUCAUAUAUUCAUAAAUAAAUGAAUAAAUUUUAAAAAGUUCAAUUAAUUUUUUUGUCACCCCAACAAAAUACUUUAUUUAUUAAAUAAAUUUUAAACCCUAUAUCUUAAUUAACUAAAAAUAUUAAACUCUAUAGGGUCUUCUCGUCUUCUAUAUCUAUUUAAGCUUUCUCACCUAAAAAUAAAAUUCUAAUAAAUUUUUAUAGAGACAGAUAUUUUCUCAUCAAACCUUUCAUUCCAGCUUUCAAUUAAAAAACUAAUGAUUAUGCUACCUUUGCACGGUUAACUUACCGCGGCCAUUCAAAUUAUCAUUGGGCAGGCCAGACCUAAAAUCAUAAUCAAUAGGCC